GACGAACGCUGGCGGCGUGCUUAACACAUGCAAGUCGAACGAAGAGCGAUGGAAGCUUGCUUCUAUCAAUCUUAGUGGCGAACGGGUGAGUAACGCGUAAUCAACCUGCCCUUCAGAGGGGGACAACAGUUGGAAACGACUGCUAAUACCGCAUACGAUCUAAUCCCGGCAUCGAGGAUAGAUGAAAGGUGGCCUCUAUUUAUAAGCUAUCACUGAAGGAGGGGAUUGCGUCUGAUUAGCUAGUUGGAGGGGUAACGGCCCACCAAGGCGAUGAUCAGUAGCCGGUCUGAGAGGAUGAACGGCCACAUUGGGACUGAGACACGGCCCAGACUCCUACGGGAGGCAGCAGUGGGGAAUCUUCCGCAAUGGACGAAAGUCUGACGGAGCAACGCCGCGUGAGUGAUGACGGCCUUCGGGUUGUAAAGCUCUGUUAAUCGGGACGAAAGGCCUUCUUGCGAAUAGUUAGAAGG
rnacentral:rRNA from 1 species